GCGGUCUUGGCCGAGUGGUUAAGGCGUUGGAUUUAAGCUCCGAUAGGGUCUCCCUGCGCAGGUUCGAAUCCUGCAGGCCGCG